GUGCCAGCCGCCGCGGUAAUACAGAGAGUGCAAACGUUGUUCGGAAUCACUGGGCUUAAAGCGCACGUAGGCGGCAUCGUAAGUGUCGGGUGAAAUCCCACGGCUCACCCGUGGAACUGCCCGGCAGACUGCGAUGCUAGAGUGUGGUAGGGGAAAGCGGAACUCCUGGUGGAGCGGUGAAAUGCGUAGAUAUCAGGAGGAACACCGGUGGCGAAGGCGGCUUUCUGGUCCACAACUGACGCUGAGGUGCGAAAGCUAGGGGAGCAAACGGGAUUAGAAACCCGUGUAGUCC
rnacentral:rRNA from 1 species